rnacentral:rRNA from 1 species
GACGGGGGAUGCGAGCGUUAUCCGGAAUGAUUGGGCGUAAAGGGUCCGCAGGUGGCCCGGUCAGUCCGCUGUCAAAGCCUGGGGCUCAACCCUGGACAGGCGGUGGAAACUACCAAGCUGGAGUACGGUAGGGGCAGAGGGAAUUUCCGGUGGAGCGGUGAAAUGCGUAGAGAUCGGAAAGAACACCAACGGCGGAAAGCACUCUGCUGGGCCGACACUGACACUGAGAGACGAAAGCUAGGGGGAGCGAAUGGG